GACGAACGCUGGCGGCGUGCCUAAUACAUGCAAGUAGAACGCUGAAGGAGGAGCUUGCUCUUCUGGAUGAGUUGCGAACGGGUGAGUAACGCGUAGGUAACCUGCCUGGUAGCGGGGGAUAACUAUUGGAAACGAUAGCUAAUACCGCAUAACAGUAGAUGUUGCAUGACAUUUGCUUAAAAGGUGCAAUUGCACCACUACCAGAUGGACCUGCGUUGUAUUAGCUAGUUGGUGGGGUAACGGCUCACCAAGGCGACGAUACAUAGCCGACCUGAGAGGGUGAUCGGCCACACUGGGACUGAGACACGGCCCAGACUCCUACGGGAGGAAGCAGUAGGGAAUCUUCGGCAAUGGACGGAAGUCUGACCGAGCAACGCCGCGUGAGUGAAGAAGGUUUUCGGAUCGUAAAGCUCUGUUGUAAGAGAAGAACGAGUGUGAGAGUGGAAAGUUCACACUGUGACGGUAUCUUACCAGAAAGGGACGGCUAACUACGUG
rnacentral:rRNA from 1 species